GUGGGGAAUAAUGGACAAUGGGCGAAAGCCUGAUCCAGCCAUGCCGCGUGUGUGAAGAAGGCCUUUUGGUUGUAAAGCACUUUAAGCGAGGAGGAGGCUACCGAGAUUAAUACUCUUGGAUAGUGGACGUUACUCGCAGAAUAAGCACCGGCUAACUCUGUGCCAGCAGCCGCGGUAAUACAGAGGGUGCGAGCGUUAAUCGGAUUUACUGGGCGUAAAGCGUGCGUAGGCGGAUUUUUAAGUCGGAUGUGAAAUCCCUGAGCUUAACUUAGGAAUUGCAUUCGAUACUGGGAAGCUAGAGUAAGGGAGAGGAUGGUAGAAUUCCAGGUGUAGCGGUGAAAUGCGUAGAGAUCUGGAGGAAUACCGAUGGCGAAGGCAGCCAUCUGGCCUAAUACUGACGCUGAGGUACGAAAGCAUGGGGAGCAAACAGGAUUAGAAACCCGUGUAGUCC
rnacentral:rRNA from 1 species